rnacentral:tRNA from 1 species
UAGGGUGAAAUCAAUUAGAUAUUUCUUUUACAAUGAAAUUUAGCUUUUAGCCACUCUAA